GAUGAAGAACGCAGCGAAAUGCGAUAAGUAAUGUGAAUUGCAGAAUUCAGUGAAUCAUCGAAUCUUUGAACGCACAUUGCGCCCGCCAGUAUUCUGGCGGGCAUGCCUGUUCGAGCGUCAUUUCAACCAUCAAGCCCCCGGGCUUGUGUUGGGGACCUGCGGCUGCCGCAGGCCCUGAAAAGCAGUGGCGGGCUCGCUGUCACACCGAGCGUAGUAGAUUUUAUCUCGCUCAGGGCGUGCUGCGGGUUCCGGCCGUUAAACCACCUUCAUAACCCAAGGUUGACCUCGGAUCAGGUAGGAAGACCCGCUGAACUUAAGCAUAUCAAAAGCGGAGGA
rnacentral:misc_RNA from 1 species